rnacentral:rRNA from 1 species
AGAGUUUGAUCAUGGCUCAGAUUGAACGCUGGCGGCAUGCCUUACACAUGCAAGUCGAACGGCAGCAUAGGAGCUUGCUCCUGAUGGCGAGUGGCGAACGGGUGAGUAAUAUAUCGGAACGUGCCCUAGAGUGGGGGAUAACUAGUCGAAAGACUAGCUAAUACCGCAUACGAUCUACGGAUGAAAGUGGGGGAUCGUAAGACCUCAUGCUCCUGGAGCGGCCGAUAUCUGAUUAGCUAGUUGGUGGGGUAAAAGCCUACCAAGGCAACGAUCAGUAGCUGGUCUGAGAGGACGACCAGCCACACUGGGACUGAGACACGGCCCAGACUCCUACGGGAGGCAGCAGUGGGGAAUUUUGGACAAUGGGGGCAACCCUGAUCCAGCAAUGCCGCGUGAGUGAAGAAGGCCUUCGGGUUGUAAAGCUCUUUUGUCAGGGAAGAAACGGUAGUAGCGAAUAACUAUUACUAAUGACGGUACCUGAAGAAUAAGCACCGGCUAACUACGUGCCAGCAGCCGCGGUAAU